CCUUCUCUCUAGAAUACACACUCUCUCUCUUGUAAAAAUAUUCUGAGUGUGAAAUAAAAAGCUCUUUGCUUUUGAGCACAAUCCAUCCAUCUUAAGGUUAAUUUAGAUUUUUGUAUUUUAAUUUUAUAUUUACUUCACUUAUUUAUUAAGCCUAUGAUACGCUAAACUCAUUGUGUUGAACUAUGAUAAAUUAUAUUACAUGUAUGAAAUGACAUACGUUAUUAAAAUAAGAAUCAAAUAUUUCAAAUGAUAUUAAGGUCGCAAUACAUAGACUUGCAGUAAUAGUUUUGAUUCAGGCUUCAUGCCGGAGGUUUAAUUGGAAGGCCUGUUAGCCAGAUGGGCAUUAAGGGCUGUGUUUUAGACUCGUUUUAAAUUAAGACUAUUCCUAUGAGUUUAUGCUUUGCUUGUAAAUGUUCCAUGAAUAUCAUUUGAAGCGAUCCGUUCC